rnacentral:rRNA from 1 species
GAUGAACGCUGACAGAAUGCUUAACACAUGCAAGUCUACUUGAACUUCGGUUUGGGUGGCGGACGGGUGAGUAACGCGUAAAGAACUUGCCUCACAGAUAGGGACACCAUUUGGAAACGAAUGCUAAUACCUGAUAUUAUGAUUUUAGGGCAUCCUAGCAUUAUGAAAGCUAUAUGCACUGUGAGAGAGCUUUGCGUCCCAUUAGCUAGUUGGAGAGGUAACGGCUCACCAAGGCGAUGAUGGGUAGCCGGCCUGGGGGGGUGAUCGGCCACAAGGGGACUAGGACACGGCCCGUACUCCUACGGGGGGCGGCAGUGGGGAAUAUUGGACAAGGGACCAAGAGUCUGAUCCAGAAAUUCUGUGUGCAAGAUGAAGUUUUGCGGAAUGUAAAGUGCUUGCAGGUGGGAAGAAAAAAAUGACGGUACCAACAGAAGAAGUAACGGCUAAAUACGUG